AGUUAGUAUGAGUUUUAUGUGUACUCAUAGAGUUUCUUUGUGCAAGUCUAGAUAAAGAACUAUUUCUAUCUAGACACGACGCGGCUCUGCGCUUGCGUCGAUACGACGCGACCACACAAAUUGUGUUUUUAACUGCAUAUCUUAUUUUAACUGGCGAAGGGUCAUGUAAUAACUCGUUAAAAUAAGAUAUGCAGUUAAAAACACAACCCCUGUAGACAUGGGCAUAAUGGAUUAACGUCAAUUGUACUGAGUGACAUAGAAGACUGAAACGUGGUGGCACACAGCUGGCCGUAAGAGGAUGUUUCAAGACCACGUCGGCAUACACAGACCAUCAGUGUAUGCCGGCUGAAACCCAGUGACCCGGAGGUCGUCGCCUCCGGAAUAGAAGCCGGGGUAAUGGGGUACGCCCCGAGGCCCUUACCUCGCCCGCCCACACAUCAUCCGGCGGGCAAGAGAAGACCGUGUUGUUGUUGUUGAUGUUUCAAGUCCCCCAGCGAGCUAUGGAGAGGACUACGCUCGGAACUCCACCGCGUGAUAGAAUCCGGAAGGUAAAAAUCAGGAGAACAUUAGUUCUCAUAGUUGUAAUUAUACAAAGUCCAGAGAAUCUGCAACUAGAAGAGGCAAUUGCUCGAUCUAUAUGAGCAACAAACAACCGAUGGGGAAGAAGGGUUCUCGAGUGGCGACCGCGUGCAGGCAAGCGUAGUGUGGGCCGACCCCUCGAGAGUUGGAGUGACGAUAUCAAGAGUGUUGCAAGAAUUUACUGGAUGGAAGCGGCGGCAUAUUAUACUUUGUGCUGUUGUUACGCCAUAAAUUGAAGUUUAUAUAUCCCUCAUAUUUGGAGGACAAUGGAUAGGUUGCAAUGAUGAUAUUUAUGGUAUAUGGAGAAAUCUAAAUCAUUAUGCCUAGAUAA
rnacentral:lncRNA from 1 species